rnacentral:rRNA from 1 species
AUGAAUAUGAUGGCAUGGUUCGCAUCACUGGUCGUUCUUGGCGCCGUCUAUGUAGCUGCCUUGGCGUUCCGCCUCGUUCGGCACUUGGCCGUGUGCUUCCGGGGUCCCAAGGACAUCCGGCGGUGCUACGGCACGUGGGCCACCAUCACGGGGCCAACAUCUGGCAUUGGAUGGUCCCUGGCCGUGGAGCUCGCGCGCAGUGGGCUGAACCUUGUCCUCGUCGGCCAAGACCCGGCCAAGCUCCGGGACAUCUCCCAGACGAUAUGCAGGGCCGCUCCCACCGUGAAGACCCAAGACUCUAGUCUUGGGCUGUCCCUCCUCGCCACCGCCCACAGCGACGAGGCGAUGCGGCGGCUGCGGCAGACCGUGGAGGCGCUGGACGUUGGCGUGCUGGUGAACAACGCCGGCGUGCUGGAGCCCUGCGCGGUGUUCCUGCACGAGGCCGGAGCGGAGGAGUGGGUGGAUAUGAGGGUGAACCUGUUGGCGCUGACGGAGGUGACAGCGGCGGUGAUUCCGGGCAUGGUGGACCGCGGGAGGGGAGCUGUAGUCAACUUGGGCUCGGCUUCGUCAGAGGCCAUCCCCUCCUUACCACUCUACACCAUGUACGCCGCCACUAAACGCUAUGUUGCUCGGUUCUCUAAGAGUCUUCACUGUUAG